rnacentral:rRNA from 1 species
CCAAUAGCGUAUAUUAAAGUUGCUGCAGUUAAAAAGCUCGUAGUUGAAUUUCGGGAUCAAUAUGUCGGUCGUGCCUCCGGUACGUACUGGCGUUAUUGGUUUCUCCCUUCUGACGAACCACGAUGUCAUUAAUUUGGUGUCAUGGGGAAUCAGGACUGUUACUUUGAAAAAAUUAGAGUGUUUAAAGCAGGCUCACGCUUGAAUACAUUAGCAUGGAAUAAUGAAAUAGGACGUUUGAUUCUAUUUUGUUGGUUUCUAGGAUCGACGUAAUGAUUAAUAGGGAUAGUUGGGGGCAUUAGUAUUCAAUUGUCAGAGGUGAAAUUCUUGGAUUUAUUGAAGACUAACUACUGCGAAAGCAUUUGCCAAGGAUGUUUUCAUUAAUCAAGAACGAAAGUUAGGGGAUCGAAGACGAUCAGAUACCGUCGUAGUCUUAACCAUAAACUAUGCCGACUAGGGAUCGGAUGAUGUUAAUUUUUUAAUGACUCAUUCGGCGCCUUACG